GUUAUCUAGAUAGAAAUUUAUAUUUUUUUCGAUUUAAAUCGAUAAUUAUCGAGAUCGUUGGUCAUUAUAGAUCGAUUCGUUCGUCUAUUGCGCGAUUGAGUUUCGAGAUUUUGUAAGUGUAAAAAAAACAGAAAAAAAAGGAAGGAAGUAAAAGAAAAAAGAAAGAAGAAAGAAAAAAGAAAAGAAGAAAAUGGGGACAAGAUACUUAUUCGAGUGUCGAGCUUAGUCGAAUAAGAGGAGUAUCAACGUUAGGGAUCGUAAACUGGUAACAUCCGCCGAUCAAAUAAACCAGAACAGACGACGAUCGAUUAUUUCGUUCGAUUGAAA